UGGGGAAUUUUACGCAAUGGGCGAAAGCCUGACGUAGCGACACCGCGUGAGCGAAGAAGCCCUUUGGGGUGUAAAGCUCUGUCGGCUGGAACGAAAAAAAUGACGGUACCAGCAAAGGAAGCAUCGGCUAACUACGUGCCAGCAGCCGCGGUAAGACGUAGGAUGCGAGCGUUGUCCGGAUUCAUUGGGCGUAAAGAGUUCGUAGGCGGUUUGUUAAGUCUGAUGUUAAAGGCCGGGGCCCAACCCUGGAACUGCAUUGGAUACUGGCAGACUGGAGUGCAGUAGAGGCAAGUGGAAUUCCCAGUGUAGCGGUGAAAUGCGUAGAUAUUGGGAAGAACACCGGUGGCGCAGGCGACUUGCUGGGCUGUAACUGACGCUGAGGAACGAAAGCUAGGGGAGCAAAUGGGAUUAGAUACCCCCGUAGUCC
rnacentral:rRNA from 1 species